rnacentral:rRNA from 1 species
AUUGAACGCUGGCGGCAUGCUUUACACAUGCAAGUCGAACGGUAACAGGCCGCAAGGUGCUGACGAGUGGCGAACGGGUGAGUAAUGCAUCGGAACGUGCCCAGUCGUGGGGAUAACGCAGCGAAAGCUGUGCUAAUACCGCAUACGAUCUAUGGAUGAAAGCGGGGGACCGUAAGGCCUCGCGCGAUUUGAGCGGCCGGUGUCAGAUUAGGUAGUUGGUGGGGUAAAGGCUCACCAAGCCAACGAUCUGUAGCUGGUCGGAGAGGACGACCAGCCACACGGGGACUGAGACACGGCCCAGACUCCUACGGGAGGCAGCAGUGGGGAAUUUUGGACAAUGGGCGCAAGCCUGAUCCAGCAAUGCCGCGUGCAGGAAGAAGGCCUUCGGGUUGUAAACUGCUUUUGUACGGAACGAAAAGGUUUGGGUUAAUACCCUGGGCCGAUGACGGUACCGUAAGAAUAAGCACCGGCUAACUACGUGCCAGCAGCCGACGUAA